rnacentral:misc_RNA from 1 species
UGGCUGUACAAUAGAUAUACAUGUGAUGAAAAUGGAAGGGAAUCAGUAGAGAGAGUUGUAGGUGAGGCAAGUGGCAACAAUGGAGGAGAUACAAAUGAAGAGUGAUGGAAGUAGAGUGGCAUUCAAGAGCCUACUUUCACUCAAGUAUCCACUCAGUGUUAUUGUUCCAUCUGCAAUUACUCGAGCCAAGGUCCCUGCUUCUGUUGAAAGCAACCCUCCAUUGUAUGUCCCUCGAGAAAGCCUUGAUGACAUUACUCGUGAUAAUAGUGAUAAGUUCACACCUUCAAGGACUUCAGCUGAUACGAACGUGAC